GAUUAAGUUAUUAAGGGCGCACGGUGGAUGCCUUGGCACUAGAAGCCGAUGAAGGACGUUACUAACGACGAUAUGCUUUGGGGAGCUGUAAGUAAGCUUUGAUCCAGAGAUUUCCGAAUGGGGAAACCCAGCAUGAGUUAUGUCAUGUUAUCGAUAUGUGAAUACAUAGCAUAUCAGAAGGCACACCCGGAGAACUGAAACAUCUUAGUACCCGGAGGAAGAGAAAGAAAAUUCGAUUCCCUUAGUAGCGGCGAGCGAAACGGGAAGAGCCCAAACCAACAAGCUUGCUUGUUGGGGUUGUAGGACACUCUAUACGGAGUUACAAAGGACGACAUUAGACGAAUCAUCUGGAAAGAUGAAUCAAAGAAGGUAAUAAUCCUGUAGUCGAAAAUGUUGUCUCUCUUGAGUGGAUCCUGAGUACGACGGAGCACGUGAAAUUCCGUCGGAAUCUGGGAGGACCAUCUCCUAAGGCUAAAUACUCUCUAGUGACCGAUAGUGAACCAGUACCGUGAGGGAAAGGUGAAAAGCACCCCGGAAGGGGAGUGAAAUAGAACCUGAAACCGUGUGCUUACAAGUAGUCAGAGCCCGUUAAUGGGUGAUGACGUGCCUUUUGUAGAAUGAACCGGCGAGUUACGAUUUGAUGCAAGGUUAAGCAGUAAAUGUGGAGCCGUAGCGAAAGCGAGUCUGAAUAGGGCGUUUAGUAUUUGGUCGUAGACCCGAAACCAGGUGAUCUACCCUUGGUCAGGUUGAAGUUCAGGUAACACUGAAUGGAGGACCGAACCGACUUACGUUGAAAAGUGAGCGGAUGAACUGAGGGUAGCGGAGAAAUUCCAAUCGAACCUGGAGAUAGCUGGUUCUCUCCGAAAUAGCUUUAGGGCUAGCCUCAAGUGAUGAUUAUUGGAGGUAGAGCACUGUUUGGACGAGGGGCCCCUCUCGGGUUACCGAAUUCAGACAAACUCCGAAUGCCAAUUAAUUUAACUUGGGAGUCAGAACAUGGGUGAUAAGGUCCGUGUUCGAAAGGGAAACAGCCCAGACCACCAGCUAAGGUCCCAAAAUAUAUGUUAAGUGGAAAAGGAUGUGGCGUUGCCCAGACAACUAGGAUGUUGGCUUAGAAGCAGCCAUCAUUUAAAGAGUGCGUAAUAGCUCACUAGUCGAGUGACACUGCGCCGAAAAUGUACCGGGGCUAAACAUAUUACCGAAGCUGUGGAUUGUCCUUUGGACAAUGGUAGGAGAGCGUUCUAAGGGCGUUGAAGCAUGAUCGUAAGGACAUGUGGAGCGCUUAGAAGUGAGAAUGCCGGUGUGAGUAGCGAAAGACGGGUGAGAAUCCCGUCCACCGAUUGACUAAGGUUUCCAGAGGAAGGCUCGUCCGCUCUGGGUUAGUCGGGUCCUAAGCUGAGGCCGACAGGCGUAGGCGAUGGAUAACAGGUUGAUAUUCCUGUACCACCUAUAAUCGUUUUAAUCGAUGGGGGGACGCAGUAGGAUAGGCGAAGCGUGCGAUUGGAUUGCACGUCUAAGCAGUAAGGCUGAGUAUUAGGCAAAUCCGGUACUCGUUAAGGCUGAGCUGUGAUGGGGAGAAGACAUUGAGUCUUCGAGUCGUUGAUUUCACACUGCCGAGAAAAGCCUCUAGAUAGAAAAUAGGUGCCCGUACCGCAAACCGACACAGGUAGUCAAGAUGAGAAUUCUAAGGUGAGCGAGCGAACUCUCGUUAAGGAACUCGGCAAAAUGACCCCGUAACUUCGGGAGAAGGGGUGCUCUUUAGGGUUAACGCCCAGAAGAGCCGCAGUGAAUAGGCCCAAGCGACUGUUUAUCAAAAACACAGGUCUCUGCUAAACCGUAAGGUGAUGUAUAGGGGCUGACGCCUGCCCGGUGCUGGAAGGUUAAGAGGAGUGGUUAGCUUCUGCGAAGCUACGAAUCGAAGCCCCAGUAAACGGCGGCCGUAACUAUAACGGUCCUAAGGUAGCGAAAUUCCUUGUCGGGUAAGUUCCGACCCGCACGAAAGGCGUAACGAUUUGGGCACUGUCUCAACGAGAGACUCGGUGAAAUCAUAGUACCUGUGAAGAUGCAGGUUACCCGCGACAGGACGGAAAGACCCCGUGGAGCUUUACUGUAGCCUGAUAUUGAAAUUCGGCACAGCUUGUACAGGAUAGGUAGGAGCCUUUGAAACGUGAGCGCUAGCUUACGUGGAGGCGCUGGUGGGAUACUACCCUAGCUGUGUUGGCUUUCUAACCCGCACCACUUAUCGUGGUGGGAGACAGUGUCAGGCGGGCAGUUUGACUGGGGCGGUCGCCUCCUAAAAGGUAACGGAGGCGCUCAAAGGUUCCCUCAGAAUGGUUGGAAAUCAUUCAUAGAGUGUAAAGGCAUAAGGGAGCUUGACUGCGAGACCUACAAGUCGAGCAGGGUCGAAAGACGGACUUAGUGAUCCGGUGGUUCCGCAUGGAAGGGCCAUCGCUCAACGGAUAAAAGCUACCCCGGGGAUAACAGGCUUAUCUCCCCCAAGAGUUCACAUCGACGGGGAGGUUUGGCACCUCGAUGUCGGCUCAUCGCAUCCUGGGGCUGUAGUCGGUCCCAAGGGUUGGGCUGUUCGCCCAUUAAAGCGGUACGCGAGCUGGGUUCAGAACGUCGUGAGACAGUUCGGUCCCUAUCCGUCGUGGGCGUAGGAAAUUUGAGAGGAGCUGUCCUUAGUACGAGAGGACCGGGAUGGACAUACCUCUGGUGUACCAGUUGUCGUGCCAACGGCAUAGCUGGGUAGCUAUGUGUGGACGGGAUAAGUGCUGAAAGCAUCUAAGCAUGAAGCCCCCCUCAAGAUGAGAUUUCCCAACUUCGGUUAUAAGAUCCCUCAAAGAUGAUGAGGUUAAUAGGUUCGAGGUGGAAGCAUGGUGACAUGUGGAGCUGACGAAUACUAAUCGAUCGAAGACUUAAUCAA
rnacentral:rRNA from 1 species